AGAGUCACAAGUUGUCAAUUAUUAAGAGUUAUUCCAAGGUCUUUAGUCAUGUGAAAUGUUCUUUAUUAGUUUUAUUGCGAACACGUUGGUGGACAAGUUAACUCCAGCUCCACUGUGCACAGAAAGUAUAUUCCUUUUUUCUUAGAAUUACUUAAAGGCAUUAAAAAUAAAAAGAAGAGGGAGAAGAUUCCAGUGGACACUACUUGUGAAUACUUGGACAGCAAAAACACUUCAGUAAAAGAAGCUGCUCUUACUCAAUUGCCAAGUAAGGAAGAAACAAAGAUGACUUCCAAGAACGUGGAGCGAAGUGAUGUUUCUCCAAAAAAACAUGCUCUUGAAGUACCACCGAUAAAUACAGCUCUUCAAGCAAUGCAAAAAGUAGUUGAACCUGAAAGAGAGAGAAAAAGGGUUAAAAUUAAAGAUGAGAAUCGUGAUGCCUUCACUUCGUAUAGCAGAAGUGGAAGUAAUUCCUUGAUUUCAGCUGCCCCCAGGUUAACAGCUGAAUCCAGAUUUGAAACUACGGAAAAAGAAGAUAAGAAAGAAAAUAAAAUCAUGACUGAGAAGAAAACACAAAAGAAAAAAUAUACAACGUUGUAUGUAUCUUCUAAGCCAACUUCUGAAACGCAAUGUGCUCAGCAAUAAAACCUGCAUUUCUGGAAGCAGCCUGAACAAUUUGGAAUCCUGCUUCAGCAGGAAACACUGAGUAAACUUAUGUCACAUGUAAAUAUACAGGUUCCUAACUUAGGCAUUGAUCUGCCUUGUUUUAUGAGGAGUAUUAAUGAGUUGCACUUUUGAUAACUUCCCAGAGUGCACCUGUUAAGUGCCCUGGCAAUGUGACCUGGAGCUGUUGCCUUGUCUUUAGUCUUGGCUAAGUCUCUAAAUGUGUUAAUUGUUAUUUGUUUGAAGCACAGUGCAAUUCUGAAAGAUAAGUACUUGUACAGAAGUUUUAUUAUACAAUAAGACGGGGUCAACCCUGAGCAAGACAGACUAGCCAAUGUUCAUGCACAGCUCAACUAAGUCAUGUGCUCCUGAAUUUCUUCCAGUUCCUGGAUUCAGAAUUCUUAAAAUAUUUUUCACCCCUGAUGUGCAAUCGUUCAACUUGCAGACUGACCUGAUUGCCAAGGUACAUGUGAAUCUUUUUAUGCAUUUUGUGGGAUAGUAUUCUUUUGAAACUCUAUAAAUUCUUGUAUUUAUACUAAUAAUUAAAGUAAAUCUUUUUCUUCCUUUCAAACUGUAGUCUACAUUGCAUUUGAGACAAAACAUACCUCUAAAGCUGUCCAUAUUUUGAUUAAGAGGUGCAGUAUUUUGCAGAAAGGUUUUGUUUAAAAAAAGUACCACUCAAUAAAAGCUAAGAAAUUGUAAUGCAUGCGCUCUGUGUCAUCAUGUUGUUCUGAGACAAAUCCUAAGUUCCUGUAACUUUCUGGUGACGCUUUAUCCAGAAUAAUUCUGAGAACGUUUAUGCUAGUU
rnacentral:lncRNA from 1 species